rnacentral:lncRNA from 1 species
CUUUCGUCAUUAUCUAUAUUUGAUAUAUCUAAUACUUUUAGUAAAGAAGGUUAAUUUAUAUACUAAUACUAAUGCUUGCUAGAGCAUUGCAAGUGGACCAAUUAUUAUCUGAUUUGGUUAUUCACCGUAUUGGAGUGAUUGAUCAUUGACAACUAAUAUUAUUAGGAGAGAUCAAAAAGGGCAAACAAAAUUUUGCUUCUGCAACAAUUAUUAUCAGCAGUGUGGCAUUAUAGAAACAAGUUUCGACAAUUUUGGGCUGCUUGUUUCAUCAAUAGAAAAGUUAAAAAAAAAUUGAAGCAGAUUGUCUUGACAAUUAAAUACAAGGAAAGCUUACACAUUAUUUGCGUCAGUGUGGUGAAACAACUGUUUCUGAAUCGAAAAGAAAUAUAAUAAAGCGAUUGAUGAAAAAUAGCAUUACAGUUGCUUGUAAUUGGAAAAGAAAAAAUGGGAAAUAUACUUUUAGCAAUAGCAAGCUUUGCCAAAUUAUAAAUAGUGCACUUUUUUGGGUUAAACCAGGAAUCGGCAACCUUCGGCUUGCAAGCCGCAUCCAGUUUUUUAUUUAAACUGUGUGGCUCUUCAACCUGUCCGAGUUUUAUAUUUAAAUGAUAUUGAAUAUCAUUGAAUAAUAAUAAUUUUUAGAUUUUUUUAAAACAAUUUUAAGAAAAAUGGCCCUCAAAUUGAAACAGGUUGCCGACCCCUGUGUUAAAUAAUCAUUAUUUAUUCUUAUCAGGGAUGUUUCAUUUUCAGUUCCAUCAAUUUUUUGGGACCCCAUGGACUUCGAAUUAUGGAUUCCAUGGACUUCGAACUCUUCGAAUAAUUUUUUUUUCUUUAAUUAAAUAUGGGGUUUUUAUUAUCUGGAACUUUAACGUGAAAAUUCCAGAAAAAUGAGACGCCUAAGAAGUCCUUACGGUCUUUGCUGGAUAGUGAGAAUUAAUAAGAAAAAUAUAACUCCAAAGAUUUUGAUUUGAUUCGCAUUGUCGCGCACACAGAUUUCUCAGUUGCACUCAUUUUCUUAGACUAUUUGAAACCACAUAAUCAUAAAAUUAUAAAAAGAUUUAAUUUUUUACUUACAUUAAUUACACGCUAAAUUAUAAAGUUACAAGGACAAAAUAUUACAAAAGCAUAUCAUCAAUUAACUCAGAUGUAAAUCGACUACAAUGGUCUGGUGUCAUGUGCUUUAAGACUGAAAACAUAUGCUCGACACUGACUUGGCAUAUGGUUAGUGACAAACCGACAAGGCAGGCAUCCCAUUCAACUUCAGGGAACUGCUUAUUUGAUUUUAAUGGGUUAAGUUUUUAAAACUCGUCUAAGUUGGAAGAGUUGUCUUUAAACAUUGAACGAAUUUCCGAAAUUAUUUUUAGAGCUUGUCAAAGCUCCUUUUUGAUUACAUCUAGUUGAACCUGCAUUUGUUCUUCUGAAGAACUUUCUUGAAUCUCCUGUUGAUACAACAUAAAUAAAUUUGAUCAACACUUUGCGACUGGUGAAGCAUUCUCUUCAUUUUCUGAGCUAGAGUCUGACACAUAAACUGCAAAAGAGUUGCGCUCUACUACUUUUUUGGUUUUGUUGAGUUCAUUAUUCUUAUUUUUAUUAGCGAGUUGAAUCAGUUUGUAAUGUAUUUCCAAAGUCAUCAGCUGCAGUUAUUUAUAGAAGUAUUUAUAA